AUUGAACGCUGGCGGCAGGCUUAACACAUGCAAGUCGAGCGGAGAGAGGUAGCUUGCUACCGAUCUUAGCGGCGGACGGGUGAGUAAUGCUUAGGAAUCUGCCUAUUAGUGGGGGACAACAUUUCGAAAGGAAUGCUAAUACCGCAUACGUCCUACGGGAGAAAGCAGGGGAUCUUCGGACCUUGCGCUAAUAGAUGAGCCUAAGUCGGAUUAGCUAGUUGGUGGGGUAAAGGCCUACCAAGGCGACGAUCUGUAGCGGGUCUGAGAGGAUGAUCCGCCACACUGGGACUGAGACACGGCCCAGAGUCCUACGGGAGGCAGCAGUGGGGAAUAUUGGACAAUGGGCGGAAGCCUGAUCCAGCCAUGCCGCGUGUGUGAAGAAGGCCUUAUGGUUGUAAAGCACUUUAAGCGAGGAGGAGGCUACUUUAGUUAAUACCUAGAGAUAGUGGACGUUACUCGCAGAAUAAGCACCGGCUAACUCUGUGCCAGCCGCCGCAGUAACAC
rnacentral:rRNA from 1 species